rnacentral:rRNA from 1 species
CAGCCGCCGCGGUAAAACGUAGGGUGCAAGCGUUAAUCGGAAUUACUGGGCGUAAAGCGUGCGCAGGCGGUUAUAUAAGUCAGAUGUGAAAUCCCAGGGCUCAACCUGGGAACUGCAUUUGAGACUGUAUGGCUAGAGUGUGUCAGAGGGGGGUAGAAUUCCACGUGUAGCAGUGAAAUGCGUAGAUAUGUGGAGGAAUACCGAUGGCGAAGGCAGCCCCCUGGGAUAACACUGACGCUCAUGCACGAGAGCGUGGGGAGCAAACAGGAUUAGAUACCCCGGUAGUCCCUGUCUCUUAUAU